rnacentral:rRNA from 1 species
AUGGAGAAGCGCGCGGAGGAGCUCCGGGGCCACAAUCGAGAAGCUCUCCGGUCCCUGGCGCAGGAGCGGGAGCGACUCGACGAGGAGCGCACGGCCUUCCUUCUCGAGAAGGCCGAAGCUGAGGAGGAGCAAAGGCUGGCUGCCAAGAAGCAGUUCGCGCGGGAAGGUGAACUAGUGCAGCGGAAGGCCAACCUCGACAGCUACGAGGAAGAGCUCGCCGAGCGCGAGCAGGCACUUGGCGGGGCGCUCAAGGAGGCAAAGGACGCCGCGACAAUUGCAGAGGCCGCCAAGAAAGAGCUGGAGGAGAAGGUGGCGCAGCUGGAGGCCAACAUUGGGAAGAGCGUCGAGGAGCUUGCCGCACUCAAGCGUGAACGUGAGAAGGAUGCUGCCGCCCACGGCGAGCUGCAAGGUCUUUUCGCUGAGAGGGGCAAGGAGCUCAGCGCCGCCAAGAAUUCCAAAGCAGACCUGGAGCUGAAGCUGGCCACGCUGUCGCAGACGCUGGAAGCCGCCAAGGAGCGGGAGAAGACCUUGUCAGAGAAGAUCAAGGCUGACGCGGCGCUGCUGGAGAGCAUUGCAGUUACCCAGAACUUGUUCAGAGACACUGUGGAGCACUGGACCGAGGGUCUGGUGAACAUUGCUGCAGUCAUCAAAGAGGAGCUGGCGCAGCUGGGGAUGGAGGACUUUGGGUAUCCUUCCGACGAGAGUCUUCAACCCAGCGCCAAGCUCAGCAUGUUCUUCAAGGGCGUGGCAACGGCACUCCAGCGGCUCCGGGAGAGGUUCCCGAAGCAGCUGGCCGACGAGUCGCGCAAAAUCUGCGCCGGGGCUCUCCAAAAGGUGCUGAUGAAGGUGGCCUUCCGCAAUCCAGGCCUCAGCUUCACCAACGUCCUCAGGUCCUUGCCGCCUGACGCCGAUCUAGAUGCACUCAAGGCCCUUGUCGCACCCAUUGUGGACAAGGUGAGCGAGAUCAAGAGGGUCGAGGGCGGACACGUAUACUAG